UCAGGCUCAUCCUGGAGCCAGCUCUGCAGAGGGAACAUGGGGGGAGGCGACUCACACCAUGACCUGUGUGGAGGUGGCCAUGGUCGGGUGAACCAAUGAACCAAGACUCCUGAGUGUGUUAAGUCCAAAGAGCAGGACUCCGUGAAGGAAAGAGGGAAGAGCUGCAGCGGGGAGGCUGAACAGGAUUUUAACAACGGCUUGAAGAAACAAACUUACCAUGAAAAUGCAGGGCAGUCCAGCCUUGUGCAGACAAAGGAGAAAUGAGCCUCACUCGGGCAAACAGUGCUGGCGACCUCCUCUCCCUCCCUCCACCAAGGAAAACAAAAGAAGGGCAAGGCCCAGAGUGGACAGAGGCUUCUUCCCUGGGUCAGAGAAACACGAGGUCUCGGGGCCCAAAUCCCAGCGCUGCCUGGAGGAAAGGACCCAGCACCUCCCAGCAAAGGCCUCUGUCCACAGCUCCCUUAGUCUGGGGCAGGGAAAUCUGUCUGCACCUUGCCUUGGCUUCUUUCCCUGGGCCCUGGGGGACAACUGCCUAUCCGCUUUCCCCCUCAGGAACAGGGACACAUUAGCAAGGUGACCAGUGUGUCCCAGUUGGCCCAGAUUGUGCUGGUUUUAAAACGGAGAGUCCUGGAAACCCCUUCACCUGGGCAAACCAGGACGGUGGAGCACGGGGCAGGACGAGCAGCAGGACGAGCAGCAGGUCAGCCCUGGGGCCCACAGCUGCCGGAGGCUUCCUGGUCACUGUCUGUUCCCAAGCGCCUGAACUUAACCCUAACCCUACCCCUAACCCAAAUUCCACUCACCACUGGCAAAACUGUCCUCUGUCCUGGACUACCUCCGCCCUGGCCAGGGUGCUCAAGGCCCUGUUGGUGGUCGAGGGGUUCCUAUGGAUCCCGGACCCUGGCCUGGGCCUAAUCGGAGCCCGCCUGGGCCUCUGACCACCAUCUCUCUCUGCUCUGCUGUCAAGGAC
rnacentral:lncRNA from 1 species